rnacentral:rRNA from 1 species
UACGUAGGGGGCAAGCGUUGUCCGGAUUUAUUGGGCGUAAAGAGCGUGUAGGCGGCCCGAUAAGUCCGCUGUGAAAGUCCAGGGCUCAACCCUGGAAUGCCGGUGGAUACUGUCGGGCUCGAAUCCGGAAGAGGUGAGUGGAAUUCCUGGUGUAGCGGUGAAAUGCGCAGAUAUCAGGAGGAACACCGGUGGCGAAGGCGGGAUCCUGGGCCAGUACUGACGCUGGGGAGCGAAAGCGUGGGGAGCAAACAGG